rnacentral:rRNA from 1 species
CCUACGGGUGGCAGCAGUGAGGAAUAUUGGUCAAUGGCCGUAAGCCUGAACCAGCCAAGUCGCGUGAAGGAAGAAGGAUCUAUGGUUUGUAAACUUCUUUUGUAGGGGAAUAAAGGUAUCCACGUGUGGAUGUUUGGAUGUACCCUAUAAAUAAGCAUCGGCUAACUCCGUGCCAGCAGCCGCGGUGAUAAGGAGGAUGCGAGUGUUAUUCGGAUUUAUUGGGUUUAAAGGGUGCGUAGGUUGUUUUUUAAGUCAGCGGUGAAAGUUUGUGGCUCAAACACAAAAUUGCCGUUGAAACUGGAAGACUUGAGUGUGUUUGAGGUAGGCGGAAUGCGUGGUGUAGCGGUGAAAUGCAUAGAUAUCACGCAGAACUCCGAUUGCGAAGGCAGCUUACUGGGCCAUAACUGACGCUGAAGCACGAAAGCGUGGGGAUCAAACAGGAUUAGAUACCCGAGUAGUC